rnacentral:rRNA from 1 species
UCUUCCUCGUCAUAGAGGGUGACAAUCCCGUCUGCGACCGGUCGUGCGUUCAUCUACGAUACGCUUUCAAAGAGUCGAGUUGUUUGGGAUUGCAGCUCCAAAUGGGUGGUAAACAUCACCUAAGGCUAAAUAUUGGCGAGAGACCGAUAGCGAACAAGUACCGUGAGGGAAAGAUGAAAAGAACUUUGAAAAGAGAGUUAAACAGUACGUGAAAUUGUUGAAAGGGAAACGAUUGAAGUCAGUCGUGCUGGCGCGAAAUCAACCCUCUCGUCGAGAGGACACAUGGCGUGGCGAGCCUCAAAACCGUCACGAAGCGUGAACUCUUGGCGAAAAGGAGCACUUUCGUGUCCGCUGGUUAACAUCAAUUUCGAACGUCAUAAAAAGGCUGGAGGGAUGUGGCUCCUUCGGGAGUGUUAUAACCUUUAGCGGAAUGUGGUGGUCGGGAUUGAGGAUUGCAACGAAUACC